GACUCCCCAGAGAACUCAAAGAAGGAUGUUGGUGCAGCCAAGUCACCCAGAAAAGGUGGGCUGGAUGAGGUCGAUUUGGGAGAUAAUAUCCCAGGAUAGGAAGUCAUUGUUAUUCAGAACAUGGUUUUGCUGUGAAGAUCCUGGCCUCCAGGAUAGAGUCCUUCUCUCACAGAAGUCUUACCCCAGGAGAUCAAGCAGGAGAUCCACCAGGUGCUCAUGGACCAUGGAGUCCCAUGUCAUUACACCUGCUUCUUGCUGCACCCAGAAGACAGCACACUGGAGCGCUUCUUAGUUCUGCACAGCAUCCAGGGGCUGCAAGAGGACUCAGUGCUGUGCAAGGUGGAGAGCCCUAUACCAUGUGUGAGGCCCACAUCCAAGUGGACCAGGGUGGAAACCUAUGCAAGAGCAUGGACCCCGACCCAUCUGAUGCCUCCAACAGGGCUGAGGGUAGCUUUUUGUUCUUCCUGAGCAUUUUCACUGGGGGUGACCUGGGAAAGGGCUUGAAGAUGGAGCCCCUCGGUGGCACACCACCUGAGUACAUCCAUCCAGGGAGCCAGGAGUAGCCAUGGUGUCUUGUGCAGUCCCAGAACUUGCCUGAAAGUGCUCACCAAAAGCAGCCUGAACCCACCUUCUGGGGACCUCAUGUGCUUGUUGGUGAUCAUGGCUGAGGACCUACAAGGCUGCAUGACCGCAUACACAUGAGGCUUUCACCUCAAUCAAGCCACUUCCGAAGCCCUUCCCUAGCAGAGCUGCUUAACCGUAUCAGCGGGACCUGCAGAAACCACUUUGCAGGAAUGCAGAAGUAAAGAGGAAUGGCCACCUUGUUCUAGAUGUGCAGCUGGAUGACCCCAAGGGAGAACACAACAUGGACUGCGUGUGCACACAGGAAACCUCCACCUCGAGGCUGGGCUGCAAGGAGCACAUUUCUGGACUGGGACCCGGGCCUGGAGUGAGAAGUUCCAGACGAUGAGGAAGCUGCUCCCCAAGGAUCUGCUUGAGCUGCUGUUUCAAAAAGGGCCAUAUUGA
rnacentral:lncRNA from 1 species